rnacentral:rRNA from 1 species
UGGGGAAUUUUGGACAAUGGGGGAAACCCUGAUCCAGCCAUCCCGCGUGUGCGAUGAAGGCCUUCGGGUUGUAAAGCACUUUUGGCAGGAAAGAAACGUCAUGGGUUAAUACCCCGUGAAACUGACGGUACCUGCAGAAUAAGCACCGGCUAACUACGUGCCAGCAGCCGCGGUAAUACGUAGGGUGCAAGCGUUAAUCGGAAUUACUGGGCGUAAAGCGUGCGCAGGCCGUUCGGAAAGAAAGAUGUGAAAUCCCAGAGCUCAACUUUGGAACUGCAUUUUUAACUACCGGGCUAGAGUGUGUCAGAGGGAGGUGGAAUUCCGCGUGUAGCAGUGAAAUGCGUAGAUAUGCGGAGGAACACCGAUGGCGAAGGCAGCCUCCUGGGAUAACACUGACGCUCAUGCACGAAAGCGUGGGGAGCAAACAGG